rnacentral:rRNA from 1 species
GACGAACGCUGGCGGCGUGCUUAACACAUGCAAGUCAAACGGAAAGUCCCUGCUUUUGUGGGGUGCUCGAGUGGCGAACGGGUGAGUAACACGUGAGUAACCUGCCCUUGACUUUGGGAUAACUUCAGGAAACUGGGGCUAAUACCGGAUAGGAGCUCCUGCUGCAUGGUGGGGGUUGGAAAGUUUCGGCGGUUGGGGAUGGACUCGCGGCUUAUCAGCUUGUUGGUGGGGUAGUGGCUUACCAAGGCUUUGACGGGUAGCCGGCCUGAGAGGGUGACCGGCCACAUUGGGACUGAGAUACGGCCCAGACUCCUACGGGAGGCAGCAGUGGGGAAUAUUGCACAAUGGGCGGAAGCCUGAUGCAGCAACGCCGCGUGCGGGAUGACGGCCUUCGGGUUGUAAACCGCUUUCGCCUGUGACGAAGCGUGAGUGACGGUAAUGGGUAAAGAAGCACCGGCUAACUACGUG